AGACAGAAACAGGAAACCCGCACACCUCUGCAUCUGAAAAGAAACCGCACCAGGGUAAGCUUCAGGUCGCUCGCUGCCGGGCUUCUAGCUUGGAUCCGCGUAGCAGGUGGUAUCAAGGUGCUUAGAGACCGUCUUCAGGCAUGAAUGGUGCUUAUUCUUUCCAGUGGCUACAGAGGGAGCCCGUGCUCUUAAUUUAGAUCAGCAUUUGCUCAAUGCAAGGUUGAUGCAGUGACCACAUUGGAAAAAAGCUCAAGAACUCACCUGGAUCAGCUGCUGUACGUAGCACAUCAACAGAGGCAGCUCCUCAGAGCCUUCACUGUGUUGCCAAAGGUGGAAAAUCCCCAACCUCUGUGGAUUCUUCUCCAGUGUCAGGCUUUGCUCAAGCUGUUGCUGUGCACCAGUGUUUCCCUGUCUUAAAUCUGCUGUCCCAGAACACACCCAGCAUCACCACAGCUCAGCUGCGUGCAGCAGAGGAUCCCUUCGGAGCUGCUGGAUCUGACAUGGAGCACUGCCCUGCUACCAGACCUUGGCAUGAUACAUUAAUGUAUCUCCGUGAAAAGAAUUUCUAUCAGUAACUGCAGCAUCUGGCAUCACCCUCGUGUGAUUCAACAAAGAAGUGAGAUGCUGUGGGCGGUCAGAAGGACCACCUCUGCUAGAGGGGCUAAAUUUGGCCAUGAGCAGCUGGAAGACAUCACUGCAAAAUGCAGAGAAAACGAUGCAAGUGCUUCUGCUUAUAUUGUUCAGCAGGAGACACCCAAAUGCAUUGCAGGACCAGACAGUGCUGCCAGGGGAAAAACAACACAAAAAGAGAGAGACUGUCAGCAUCGGACAGACGAACAUCACCAUCCUCAAGGUGAUAGAAAUCAAUACUCCAUUCCUCUCUGUGGAUUCCAUGGCUAUCUAGACUGCAGGUCAAGUGCUGACCUACCCUGCCUCUGCUUGAUCUGCCAUCUGCUAAGGUACCAGCUCUUGAGAGUGUAUUUUCUUCCCAGCCAUUGCUGUCACUGAAGUUUUCCUUUUAUCUUAGAGAAUUAGCGAUGUUUCAAUAACUGGUACAAUGUUUCCUAGAAACACUUUUUAUUUGUGGUUACACUUACAUGGUUACACAGUAUGUAUCAAUGCUAUACAAAAGAUGCUACCGAAAAAGCCAACAAUUUGAUCUCUUUUUGAUUUUCCAAAUCAGUUUUUCUAUGCUAUUCAGGAAUUGGGUCUCCUGCCCUUUGCCCUCAGAGAAACCUCCUGCUCCUCAGCAGCACAUUUCUGGCCAAGGACACAGAAUGCUUAAGUAAAGCCUCUGGACAGUUUUUCAGCUGCUCUUUGAAUUCACCUUCAUAACCCACAUGGUGAGGUUCACUGUAACCCAACCUGACCGUAGCUGUUCCUGGGAUAUGGGAUUCUAUCAGAACACUGGGGUACCCUCUAUAACAAUGUUUGUUUCUCAUUUCAAUUAAACAUCGAGAUAUAAGACUUCUAGGGAGAGAAUUCAUGAACUAAUUUUAACAGGAAAUAAUUAAAAUGUAGGUAUUUGCAGGGAACGUGCAUUGGGAGAAUCAGAAAAAUUGCUGUUGUGCAAAACGUGGCUUGGUGUAAGUGCUUUUCUAAUACAGAACUUGUCAACAGAAAAAAAAAAUCAGCAGAAAAACAGUUCUUUAUGUAUGUGCUCUUUGCUAUACAGAUGGGCUGCAUCGUAAGGAUGUAGAUGGUAUUUAUACCAAACUCUGACCAGUAUUUAGAGUCUAAAAGGGGACACAAAGCAUCGGAAAACUUCCUCAAAGGGAAAAAAGUGGUUUUUCAAACAGCGUUAAUGCCAAUCUGUCUGUAUUUUGGCACACUUAAAUUACUGUUGCGAUGGUAUUACGAAGCCUAAGGGGCUACAGAACUCAAAUGUGAGGAGGGAGUGUCACGUGCCAGUGAGCUCUAACUUUGAGAAUACAACAUUUCUUCAUCUGCAGCAGGCAAAGGCAACCAACAGCCAUAAAAGGGCUGGAUCUCAGUAAGGAAUCAGAGGGCUCUAAAGUCAGCUUCCACUUCCAAACCAAUUUUUAUCCUUGUAGACAUAGUAUAUGAAAAUACAGUAAUAAUCAAGUACUGCUGUGGGCCUCAUUCCCUCUAGCUGGAGGCACUGCUGGAAUGCUAUUAAUGUCUCAUCUAAUAAACUGAAACCAGCUGCUAGAAAAGUUCCAUUUGUUCUUUAAAAUGUUCGAUUAUGCCAGUAGUUCUGUGAUUAAUACACAGGGCUGUUUACACAAAUGAGAAAUGUUCCACAUUUUGAGCCCUCCUUUUAUAAUACAGAUUUGGUUCGCAGCUUACUUCUUCAAGCGGGCACACACAGCUGAUCUGGCUCAGAGAGACAGUAAUAGAUGGCAGGAGAAAUGAGGAAGAAAAGGACCCUGCUCCUGAUAACCCCCAUUGGUAACAGCGGCACGUGGGCUUCCUGAGCUGAGGAGUAUUUCUACACAGUGAGCAGACCCAUUUAGCUGUCGUUAACUUAGCUGACUGCUUUUAAACCCAUCCCAGCUUUAUACAGCUUACAGAUUAGUGGCUUGAUAGUUAAUUUCUUGAGGUGCAGGAAAUCAGUCAUUUUCUUUGUGAUUUUUCUCUGCCUUCAUCCCGUUCUCAGCCCCUUUUCUCAGUGCAGAAGACAAAAGAACUUUUGCACAUAUAUGUGCCUUACCUUUGUUCAUCUCUGCUGCUGCAGAUUGUUGUUCUUUCUGCGUUUGUGGGUACCAAUGGAUUCACUGAGUUAAGGUCCUUGUUUUGUUUCUAGUAAACUCUGAAGCCCUUCCAGUUGUUUAAGCUACAGCCUAGCAGAACGUCGCUCUAAAAUAAAAGUAAUCCCAAGACUUCCUGCUCAGUGUGGCAGCUGCAAGUUUCUCUCUGUGUUAUCAGUGUUAAAACCCCAGGCAUGUUGCUUGGACUGAUGUAGAAUUUAGUCUGCUGCUUUAUCAACUGUUGUUAUUCAGUCUUGUGAAAUCUUUUUUCAACACUGUGCUGAUUACUUCCAAUUUCACUCUGUUUCAUGUUAGAGGACAAACCUGCUCACCUACCACGUGCAGCUCUUCCAAAUGCUACAACAGCCCCACCGCUGUUCUGUGAGGGAUUCUGGUAAGUGAUAACCAUGUUUUAAAAGCCAACAGAGAGGUGGGAUUGCCUUCAUCAGAGUGCCAGUGUCUUGAGAAGCCAAGAAACAAAACUACCUGAUGCUGCACACAAAAACUGGCUUUAGAUAUGCAGCUCGGACUGCUUUAAAGCACACAAGCUUAUUUAGACAUUUAUGUUAAGAAUGGAGCCACAGAAAAUAGCUUCAACAGUAUAGAAGGUGGUGGAAGCCUCUAGAAAGCAGGAAGAUCAGCAGUAAGGAAUUGGUUUACCUUAGUAUUAAGGAAUUGGUUUUAAGGAAAUACAAUUACAAUGAAUAUUCCUUAUUUAUUCCUAUUUAUUUCAGAAGCAAUGCAGCUGGGUGUGAUGGAGCAAAAGGCGUUUGUGACUAACCUGAGUGAGGUGGGCAGCUCUGCACUGGGAAAGGCACCGUCACAGAAACCAUUUGCAUUAGGUGAGUACAGCCCAAUGUGCUGCUGACUGCUCCUCAGCCAAAGCAAUACUGCAGGUCACUAAACAAGCACAGAACACAAUUCAAUAUCUUUUUAUGUUAUUACUUCCUAUCAGCCUAAGCAUGGAGAUCACACUGUGAAUGCCCUCUUAAAAAAGCCCCUUAGCCUGUGCAAAUGCAAUCUGAUAAAAGCCAGAGGUUCGCCAGAGCACAACAAAGAGUUAUGGGAUAGCGUGAGAAGGCUUAACAGAGUUUGAGCCCCUUCCCCAUGUAGCUCCUUGUGCCUUCAUUCAGUGCAAGCACUGCUCCGCAACAACCAAAACACUGGUGUGCUAUAAGCAUUAGCCUGAUCCUAACUCCAAGACACAGCACUGUAUCAGUGCUAGGAAACCAUUAACUCUAGCCCAGCCAAAAUAAGGAGAAUCAAUAAGUUCUGCUUCACCCCUAUGGAAAUGGAGAUCUAGAAAUUAUUUAAACUAUGGCAGUUCCACUGCUCCUUCCUUUCUUGCCUCCUCUCCAUCUAAAUAUGAAUUAGAUGAUUAAGAGUGAUGCAAAUUAUAGAAAUCGUGGCUUUACUGGAUUCCUCACGCACUCACAGGACUGCAUGGUCACGCGUCCUCUCUUCCACUGCAGCCUGAAGCGCUGCCUCAUUCUCCUCUGGGCUUCGGUCCCUGAAUAAAAUGGACAAAGGUCUCUUGCAAUGCUUUCUGUGGCCCCACAGAAAUGUAGGGAUUCCAGGAUGAGAUCAGAAUUUCUCAGUGGCAAUGCAGGAGUAGUCCUGUGGCAGAAAAAAAA